CAGAAGAUGUUUCCUUUAAAGAGAAAAAUGAGGAUCCGAUUAUCAGUGAACCAUCAGAUAAAGAGUCUGACUUUAUAGAGGACGACAAGUAUCCAACAGGCCAAUGCAAGACCUUUAAUCAUCUGGAAAUAAUAGAAGAAUACGGGUCUGAAGAGAGCACUGAAACAACACUACAAGAAUGCGUAACUUCAGUAAAGAGAUCUGAAACACCAGUGAAACAAUCGAACUAUCCAUUGGACCGCAGAGCAUAUGAUUUUUCCAGUUUCAAUUUCUAUAGAGAAGAUUGUGAGGACUUUGAUAAUUUAGAAACACCAGAAGAUAGGUCUGACGAUGAAGAGAGGGAUACAGAAAUAUUUAGCAUUGGAACGCCAGAGAAAGAAUGCACUGCUGAAGACAAGGAGGAGGAAGAUCAAGGUCACCAUGAAUCAUAUGAUUUUUCCAGCCUCAUAUUUU